GACGAAAGCUACGCUAAUACCGCAUACGAUCUACGGAUUAGAAAGGCGGGGGACUCGCAAGAGCCUCGCGCGAUUGGAGCGGCCGAGUGGCAGAUUAGGUAGUUGGUGGGGUAAAGGCUCACCAAGCCUGCGAUCUGUAGCUGGUCUGAGAGGACGACCAGCCACACUGGAACUGAGACACGGUCCAGACUCCUACGGGAGGCAGCAGUGGGGAAUUUUGGACAAUGGGCGCAAGCCUGAUCCAGCAAUGCCGCGUGCAGGAUGAAGGCCUUCGGGUUGUAAACUGCUUUUGUACGGAACGAAACGGCCUUUCUAAUACAGAAGGCUAAUGACGGUACCGUAAGAAUAAGCACCGGCUAACUACGUG
rnacentral:rRNA from 1 species